GACGAACGCUGGCGGCGUGCUUAACACAUGCAAGUCGAACGGAAAGGCCCUGCUUUUGUGGGGUGCUCGAGUGGCGAACGGGUGAGUAACACGUGAGUAACCUGCCCUUGACUUUGGGAUAACUUCAGGAAACUGCGGCUAAUAUCGGAUAGGCGCUCCUGCUGCAUGGUGGGGAUUGGAAAGUUUCGGCGGUUGGGGAUGGACUCGCGGCUUAUCAGCUUGUUGGUGGGGUAGUGGCUUACCAAGGUUUUGACGGGUAGCCGGCCUGAGAGGGUGAACGGCCACAAUGCGACUGCGAGACGGCCCAGACGCCUACGGUGGGCAACAGUGGGGAAUAUUGCACAGCAGGCGGAAGCCUGAGGCAGCGACGCCCGGUGCGUGAAGUCGGCCUACGGGGAAUAAACCGCUUUCGCCUAAGACGAAGCGGGACUGACGGUAAUGAAUGAAGAAGCACCGGCUAACUACGUG
rnacentral:rRNA from 1 species